AGGAGGAACAGCCCCAGUGGCGGGGCAGCUCUGGAAACCUGGAUUCAGCUCCGGCAGGAACUCCGUGUGCAGGGCCUGGAGGCUCCGGGGCGGG
rfam:Canis lupus familiaris chromosome 7, whole genome shotgun sequence.